AAAGGGGAAGGGGAAGUGGGAGGGGUAGGGGCAAGGAAAGAAGGGAGUGGGAUUAAUAUGAGAAAAUGAAAAAAGUAAACAAUGUCUUUGUAAAUAGGGAGGGAGAGAGGGGUUGAAAGGAGGGCAGGGGAAGGGGGACAAAAUAAGAACCAAGAGAGUAUGUAAAGGUGCAAAUUUCCUAUGAUGAAUGUCAUUAUAUUGUAUACCUAAAAUGUACCAAUAAAAGGAUAUACAGUUUAAAAAAAAUGAAUUAUGGUCUAGCACACCCUCAUGCUUCCCUACCAACUGCUGGGCAUUGUCCCCACAGAGCUGUAUGCAGCACAAUGGCCUGGAGCAGGUUGCCUUGGGCCUGUAUGCCAUGUGCCUACACCAGAUACUGGGCCCCACAGGAACAGCAGAGGCCCGCUCAGGUGCAGGGUGUGAGUGUGAACAGAGGAGAACUGAGAGGACCUUUGGGGCUAAAUAACAACUUCAGCACCUCCUCCAAAGCUUGGUAAACAGAGGGCCCAUGGUCCUGGUCCCAAAAGAGUCUGGGGUCUCCUCUUCUCAACCUCAACAUUCUUUCCGCUCAGCCACACACUUGGCCAGGUGCACUGUCACUGCCUUCAGGUUGGUGGGAGCAUCACAAUAGGAACAUGGACACUAAGUCACUUCACUUCCUGACACGAUUUCAUUCUGGCAUUUCACCUUAUUGUAAAUCCUGGGUCCAGGAGUCCAUGUGGCACUGUCCUGACUGUCCUGUCACCCUGUCUCCAGCUCUUACACAUCAUCACAUCUGCAGAGGCGAGCUCACCCAAAACAUCAGGCCCAUGCUACUCUGUCAUUUCUCUGGCAUUUGCUGUCUCACGGAACUUAUGCAGGCCCUGCAGGUCACAGGAUGGGGUCCCCAUUGGCUAAAUGACAUUGUAUAAGGGAGACGGUGAACACGGCCACUCUGCCUUACUAGAUUGGAAAUCCGUCAACCGAGAGCUUGGCAGAGGUCUGCACAGUAAGCACAGUGAGGCAGGGAUUCCUCACACUCCAGUGGAGACCUUGGGGAAGGACUUCCAGGAUAACAAGAGCAGGUGCACCUUUUCUGUCUUUGACUCCUCAGUGGAGCUGAAAUCCCAGGUGCAUCCCCAGGAUGAGCUUCUCCAGGACCACCUGGUGCCUCCUGAGUCCUCUGAUGAAGAGCCCCAGGGUGAAAGGGCUGUAGAAUGGAACUGCGGACAGGAUACGGGCCUUGAAACACAGAAAGGCUGUGAGCUGUUGAGUGACUCAUGAACAUUCAGACACUCAGCGUGCCAGCUCCAGCCCACGCUGAUGUCCCACCUGCAGAGUUCGUGCCAACUGCAACUGCAGCUCCCUCACCAGCUCUGACCCCACAGCAAGAGCCAGGACCUGAAACCCCUUCUCCACCAGCUGCAGAGCUGCAACUCCUGGUGGCUCCACAGCAAGUGCCAUCUCUUGAGCUCUACUUGGGGCCAACUCUUGACCCAUACCUGCAAUUCCUCUCCCUUACAGAUUUAGUUACUAUUGUAUUUAUUGUUACUCUUAUUUCCCAGAGACAGGCCAAUGAUAGAAUUAUUUAAAAUAAAAUUUAAGCUUUUAGUCUUGUUUAAAAUGAUCAACUUGCUGCAUUUUCAGUGCAUUCUCAUUCAUUCGCAGUGUUGUGCAACCUUCACCAUUGUCCAGUUCCAAGACAUUUUCAAUACGCAAAGGCAUUUCCUCCCUUCUCCCCUGCUGCUAGAUCCACUCAUCUUAUGUCCUUGUAAUUAAUCUAUUCUACAUUUUUCACAAAACUGCAAUCAUAUUGGUCUUUGGCUGCAGAAUCUUGGAAGCUACUGUUCAAUCUUGCUUAUUGGAGGACAGGAAAAUCCUAGAUAGAUUCCCAUGAUUUCUCAUCACAAACUAAAUUAUCCAGUGUUUUUUCAGACAAG
rnacentral:lncRNA from 1 species